GGAUUCUAGGGCGCUGUUUUCAAAUUUCAUUUUCUUCCGGUUUUGUCCAGCACCACGAGAACAUGAGGACGCGGCGAAAAGUUGGACAAUGAUCACAAGACUCCUACCGUGAAUCUGGCGCAGUUUAUCAGGGGUUCCCUACACUGGUCCUCGAAGACAGCUGGUCAACAUGUUUUCCAGCAUCUCUGCCCAUCAUCCACCUGCUGUGUGUUCAGUCAGAGCUAAAAAUGACCAUUUCAGAAUUGUCUCCAGUGCAAAUGAUCCUUUGUCAUCCCACUCCCUGAGGACACUCCAGAGUAGGUGAGAAAC